GAUGAAGAACGCAGCGAAAUGCGAUAAGUAGUGUGAAUUGCAGAAUUCAGUGAAUCAUCGAAUCUUUGAACGCACAUUGCGCCCCUUGGUAUUCCAUGGGGCAUGCCUGUUCGAGCGUCAUUACAACCCUCAGGCCCCCGGGCCUGGCGUUGGGGAUCGGCAGAAGCCCCCUGUGGGCACACGCCGUCCCUCAAAUACAGUGGCGGUCCCGCCGCAGCUUCCAUUGCGUAGUAGCUAACACCUCGCAACUGGAGAGCGGCGCGGCCAUGCCGUAAAACACCCAACUUCUGAAUGUUGACCUCGAAUCAGGUAGGAAUACCCGCUGAACUUAAGCAUAUCAAUAAGCGGAGGA
rnacentral:misc_RNA from 1 species